UUCGGUGGGUACUCCGGUAGCGGUUAGUGGGGGCUUCGAGCGACUGUCGAGACGAGGCCGCGACUGCUCGUCGUGCCACAGUGCUAGUUCGACCUCGGUCUGUGAUAGUAUCGUUCCUUCGAUUUGAUAUUGUAACAGAAUUUCCUGCGGUGUGACCCGCCCGGUGUUACAGCGAGGAAGUCAUCGAGCCAAGGGGUGCCAACCCCCUCUUUCAGUUUUGGAUUUUUUUCCCCGUAAAUCCUGGGACAUUGCGUCCCAACAGAAGAUGCUCCGGUCGCUGUGCUGCUAAGGAAACGUCUGAGUAAAUGCAAUGAUCCGAAGAAGUGACUAACAAAGAAGAAAAUUUUUGAUAUUUGAAAAGAAAACUUUCAGGCGGACUUAAGGGGUUAUAUACAGUUAAAAUUUUCAAAAAAUCGAUUUUUUUUUUUAAUUUAAUUUCUUAACGUACAUAUAUUUAAGAAUACA
rnacentral:misc_RNA from 1 species